AGUGACGGUUAACGGGGGAUUAGGGUUCGAUUCCGGAGAGGGAGCCUGAGAAACGGCUACCACAUCUAAGGAAGGCAGCAGGCGCGCAAAUUACCCAAUUCUAACAGCAUAAGAGAGGUAGUGACAAGAAAUAACAAUACAAGGUAAUUAAAUUGCUUUGUAAUUGGAAUGAUAGAAAUUUAAACACUUUUUAAAGUAUCAAUUGGAGGGCAAGUCUGGUGCCAGCAGCCGCGGUAAUUCCAGCUCCAAUAGCGUAUAUUAAAAUUGUUGCAGUUAAAAAGCUCGUAGUUGAAUUUCUGUUAAAAAUAACCGGUCUGCUUUUAUUAAAAGUGGUAUCUUGGUGUGUUUUUAGCAAUAAUGUCCUUUGAAAUGUUUUUUACUUUAUUGUAAUAAGUCAUUAUUUUGAGGAUUUUUACUUUGAGAAAAUUAGAGUGUUUCUAGCAGGCUUACGCUUUUGAAUACUGCAGCAUGGAAUAAUAAGAUAGGAUUUUAGUUCUACAUUAUUGGUUUUAAGAACUAAAUUAAUGAUUGAUAGGGA
rnacentral:rRNA from 1 species